GAUGAACGCUGGCGGCGUGCCUAAUACAUGCAAGUCGAGCGAACAGAUGAGGAGCUUGCUCCUCUGACGUUAGCGGCGGACGGGUGAGUAACACGUGGAUAACCUACCUAUAAUACUGGGAUAACUUCGGGAAACCGGAGCUAAUACCGGCUAAUAUAUUGAACCGCAUGGUUCAAUAGUGAAAGACGGUUUUGCUGUCACUUAUAGAUGGAUCCGCGCUGGAUUAGCUAGUUGGUAAGGUAACGGCAUACCAAGGCGACGAUGCGUAGCCGACCUGAGAGGAUGAUCAGCGACACUGGAACUGAGACACGGUCCAGAGUCCUACGGGAGGCAGCAGUGGGGAAUAGUGGACAAUGGGCGCAAGCCUGAUCCAGCCAUACCGCGUGGGUGAAGAAGGCCUUCGGGUUGUAAAGCCCUUUUGUUGGGAAAGAAAAGCAGCAGGUGAAUACCACGCUGUUCUGACGGUACCCAAAGAAUAAGCACCGGCUAACUUCGUG
rnacentral:rRNA from 1 species